AUGGAGUCACUUUAUGCUGUAGCUGAAAAGGAAUUAAUUAUUUAUUUUGCAUGUAACGAGUGUAUAUCGUAGAGAUAAGUCUUGAGAAUAAUGGAGAUUGAAAGUGGAGACCAAGAGGAUCCUAGUGAAGCUUACUUUGAACUGCAUAUUUUUUAGUAAUGGUGGGUGUGAAGAUGAUGAAAUAUACUAAUUGCCAAGAAUCCAUGACGGCAACUCUAGACAGACAGACCCUACAUUUUAAAUGAAAGGUUUUUGUAGUCAAGACCCUUGCUUUAUUUGGAAACUGGCCUGCCUCUUUUCAUGUUCACCUCUGUUUUGAAAUGGAUGCAUGAAUAUAAGAUAAUUAGAUAUCCCUUAUGGUGUACAUCUGCAUGCGAUAUGUCCGGGAGGUCUCCCUGUAGGUAUGUUAUUAGGUUACGUGAGGAGAGAGAUAAACACAGUACUGUACUUAAAAGAUGGUAUGAUUGUUGUGUUGAAUAUUUUCUUUGAUUCAAGAUCAUCCGGUCUAGUGUUAGCUAAAAAAAUUUGACAAAUGUCCUUCAACAAAAC
rnacentral:lncRNA from 1 species